GUUUGGUGUUCUCACCUGCUGUUUUUCUGUUCCAUCCAGUUGGCUCUCCGGCUUCUUGUGUUAUGUUUUGUUUCUAUUUGCCGUUCUCUCUCUGGAUUUCCCGGACAUUUGCAUCAGCAGUCAUCGGCCAGCCCAUUUCAGUCUCCUCACUGCCAAGGUAUCCAGGUUAACUUCCCAGCUGCAGCAGAUUAAGACUGAGGCUGCAGUGUCUCCCACUUUGCCACUGUUCCUUCCAUUACAGAACACGCCAUUUGUCAUCUAAAGCUGCAUCUACCAACAUUCAGGGCCGAAGAGGAAUUGGUAGGGGUAUGAGCUUGCCCACUGGAAGGUGAUGAGGCAUUGAUGACAUGGCACAGAUUGAGCAACUGUGGAUAUGAUGGUUGACAUCACGGGACAUACUGUGGCACCAGUACUGAACUUGGAGGGGCAAGAGGGUCCAUUGGCUGCCUGGAUGUCCAGAGCCGGUAUAUUAUGCACUGAGCCCAGCGGAGCAGGUUCGGCCUGAGUGGCAGCUCUGAUGUCUUUGUCGAUAUUCCAGAGGAUGGGACUCACUAUGGGGGCUGGAGAGAGAAUUGGUCCGUGAUUUGAUGGGUUGUCGAGAGAACGGAGGCAGGACAGGACAUCAGCCUUACAGUUUCUGUUUCCUGGGUGGUAGAGCAUUGUUUGCAGUCCCCCGUGUUAAUGCCUGGUCUCUCGUUCCUGUUCUCUGUGUUCUUCUUGUUGUUGGAUCAUCUUUGUCUUUGGAAUCCCAUCCACUCCUCACCUCCCACGGAUUGUACCUUUCACCCCUCGUCUCGUUCAUCUCAGUUCCUGUGUCACACUCUCCUGCUGCCAUUCCUAACCGCCACUUCUUGGAUCACCAUCUGACAUUGUUACUCCCUGGAUCGCCAUCAUACUUUGCCUCAUCCACCGGUUAUCCUGGUUUAUGUUACUUGUGUGUUUGACUGAGUUAUUAAAUAUCCAUUUACUUGCACUUGCUUCCUCACCAUCUUUCACCAUUACAGCUUGCCAAGGAUUGAGUCUCUUGGAAAGGUCCAGUUCUAGGGCCAGUUUUAUGGCCAUCAACUCCUUGUUACCGAAAUUUUAGUGUCUUGGAAUAAUAUGCGAAAGGCUGAAGGCAUGGAGGCUCA